rnacentral:rRNA from 1 species
UACGAGGGGGGCGAGCGUUGUUCGGAAUUAUUGGGCGUAAAGGGUGCGUAGGCGGUUUGGUAAGUCUUAUGUGAAAUCUACAGGCUGAACUUGUAGUCUGCAUGAGAAACUGCCGGGCUUGAGUAUGGGAGAGGUGAGUGGAAUUCCUGGUGUAGCGGUGAAGUGCGUAGAUAUCAGGAGGAACACCUGUGGCGAAAGCGGCUCACUGGACCAUAACUGACGCUGAUGCACGAAAGCUAGGGGAGCAAACAGG